AAGAUUUUAAGUUAAAAAAACUAUGGGCCUUCAAAGCCUGAAAUAAAAAACAAUUUUUAAAUCUUG
rnacentral:tRNA from 1 species